rnacentral:rRNA from 1 species
UACGUAGGGGGCAAGCGUUGUCCGGAUUUAUUGGGCGUAAAGAGCGUGUAGGCGGCCGCACAGGUCCGUUGUGAAAACUGGAGGCUUAACCUUCAGACGUCGAUGGAAACCGUGCGGCUAGAGUCCGGAAGAGGAGAAUGGAAUUCCUGGUGUAGCGGUGAAAUGCGCAGAUAUCAGGAGGAACACCGAUUGCGAAGGCAGCUCGCUGGGACGUAACUGACGCUGAGACGCGAAAGCGUGGGGAGCAAACAGG